rnacentral:rRNA from 1 species
GAUGAACGCUGGCGGCGUGCCUAAUACAUGCAAGUCGAGCGAACAGAUGAGGAGCUUGCUCCUCUGACGUUAGCGGCGGACGGGUGAGUAACACGUGGAUAACCUACCUAUAAGACUGGGAUAACUUCGGGAAACCGGAGCUAAUACCGGAUAAUAUAUUCAACCGCAUGGUUCAAUAGUGAAAGACGGUUUUGCUGUUACUUAUAGAUGGAUCCGCGCCGCAUUAGCUAGUUGGUAAGGUAACGGCUUACCAAGGCAACGAUGCGUAGCCGACCUGAGAGGGUGAUCAGCCACACUGGAACUGGGACACGGUCCAGACUCCUACGGGAGGCAGCAGUAGGGAAUCUUCCGCAAUGGGCGAAAGCCUGACGGAGCAACACCGCGUGAGUGAUGAAGGUCUUCGGAUCGUAAAACUCUGUUGUUAGGGAAGAACAGAUGUGUAAGUAACUAUGCACGUCUUGACGGUACCUAAUCAGAAAGCCACGGCUAACUACGUG